rnacentral:rRNA from 1 species
GACGAACGCUGGCGGCGUGCCUAACACAUGCAAGUCGAGCGGCGCGGCGAACGGGUGAGUAACGCGUGAGUAACUGCCCCCCUCUCUGGGAUAACAGUUGGAAACGGCUGCUAAUACCGGAUAGUGGGGGAUGACUCGCGUCCUAUGAGCUUGUUGGUGGGGUAGUGGCCUACCAAGGCGGCGGCGGGUAGCCGACCUGAGAGGGGGCCCGGCCACAUUGGGCUGAGAGACGGCCCAAACUGCUACGGGAGGCAACAGGGGGGAAUAUUGCACAAUGGGGGAAACGCUGAUGCAGCAACGCCGCGUGCGGGAUGACGGCCUGCGGGUUGUAAACCGCUUUCAGCCAUGACGCGGUAGUGGCAGAAGAAGCACCGGCUAACUACGUGCCAGCAGCCGCGGUAAUAC